rnacentral:rRNA from 1 species
UCCACGCCCUAAACGAUGAGAACUAGCUGUUGGUUGCGUAAAUGCAGUCAGUAGCGAAGCUAACGCGUUAAGUUCUCCGCCUGGGGAGUACGACCGCAAGGUUGAAACUCAAAGGAAUUGACGGGGGCCCGCACAAGCGGUGGAGCAUGUGGUUUAAUUCGGUGCAACGCGAAGAACCUUACCAUCCCUUGACAUCCUCAGAAUUUGCGUAAUGACUUAGUGCGGGUGAGAGA